CCCUUAGAUGUUCUGGGCCGCACGCGCGCUACACUGACGGAGGCAGCGAGCGUGUCCUUCGCCGGCAGGUGCGGGCAAUCUUGCGAGUCUCCGUCGUGCUGGGGAUAGAUGGUUGCAAUUGUCGAUCUUGAACGAGGAAUUCCUAGUAAGCGCGAGUCAUCAGCUCGCGCGGAUUACGUCCCUGCCCUUUGUACACACCGCCCGUCGCUACUACAGAGUGCCCGUGUCCAAGAAACGGUCGGACCUGUGCGGCCUCUCCGGGCGACCGGAGGGCCGUUACGGGGAAGACCCUUUAUUUGACGCGGGUCGAUGAAGUAAAAGUCGUAACA
rnacentral:rRNA from 1 species